AUUGAACGCUGGCGGCAGGCCUAACACAUGCAAGUCGAACGGUAACAGGAAGCAUCUUGCUGCUUUGCUGACGAGUGGCGGGCGGGUGAGUAAUGUCUGGGAUACUGCCUGAUGGAGGGGGAUAACUACUGGAAACGGUAGCUAAUACCGCAGAACGUCGCAAGACCAAAGAGGGGGACCUUCGGGCCGCUUGCCAUCGGAUGUGCCCAGAUGGGAUUAGCUAGUAGGUGGGGUAACGGCUCACCUAGGCGACGAUCCCUAGCUGGUCUGAGAGGAUGACCAGCCACACUGGAACUGAGACACGGUCCAGACUCCUACGGGAGGCAGCAGUGGGGAAUAUUGCACAAUGGGCGCAAGCCUGAUGCAGCCAUGCCGCGUGUAUGAAGAAGGCCUUCGGGUUGUAAAGUACUUUCAGCGGGGAGGAAGGGAGUAAAGUUAAUACCUUUGCUCAUUGACGUUACCCGCAGAAGAAGCACCGGCUAACUCCGUG
rnacentral:rRNA from 1 species